rnacentral:rRNA from 1 species
UACGAAGGGGGCUAGCGUUGUUCGGAAUUACUGGGCGUAAAGCGUGCGCAGGCGGCUUCUCAAGUCAGGGGGUGAAAGCCCAGAGCUCAACUCUGGAAUUGCCUUUGAGACUGAGUGGCUUGAGUACGAGAGAGGUGAGUGGAAUUCCCAGUGUAGAGGUGAAAUUCGUAGAUAUUGGGAAGAACACCGGUGGCGAAGGCGGCUCACUGGCUCGUAACUGACGCUCAUGCACGACAGCGUGGGGAUCAAACAGG